UACGUAGGGGGCUAGCGUUGUCCGGAAUCAUUGGGCGUAAAGCGCGCGUAGGCGGCCAGAUAAGUCCGGUGUGAAAGUCACAGGCUCAACCUGUGAAUGCCGCUGGAAACUGUCUGGCUAGAGUCCGGAAGGGGCGAGUGGAAUUCCUGGUGUAGCGGUGAAAUGCGCAGAUAUCAGGAGGAACACCGGUGGCGAAGGCGGAUCUCUGGGCCGAUACUGACGCUGAGGCGCGAAAGCCAGGGGAGCAAACGGG
rnacentral:rRNA from 1 species